AUUGAACGCUGGCGGCAGGCUUAACACAUGCAAGUCGAACGAGUGGCGGACGGGUGAGUAAUGCUUGGGAAUCUAGCUUAUGGAGGGGGAUAACUACGGGAAACUGUAGCUAAUACCGCAUACCAUAAGAUGAGCCCAAGUGGGAUUAGGUAGUUGGUGAGGUAAAGGCUCACCAAGCCGACGAUCUCUAGCUGGUCGGAGAGGAUGACCAGCCACACUGGGACUGCGCCACGGCCCAGACUCCUACGGGAGGCAGCAGUGGUGAAUGUUGGGCAAUGGGGGCAACCUGACGCAGCCAGGCCGCGUGACUGAAGAAGGCCUUCGGGUUGUAAAGUUCUUUCGGUAGCGAGGCGUUACCUACAGAAGAAGCACCGGCUAACUACGUGCCAGCAGCCGCGGUAAUUC
rnacentral:rRNA from 1 species